UACUAUUCUUAUUUAAGUAUUUUUUUAAUUUCAUUUUAAAAAUUAACAAUUUCAAACAAAAUUAUGGAUUAUUAAUGGAAAAUUCGUUACAGAUAAGUUAUCUAUAUUUGUUAUAAAAGUAUACAUUUAAUUCGAGAGUUUAAUCUACACCAUUACCCGAGAAAAAAAACCCGGCUAAUACUACUAGGAAUCUGGUUAACUUCCUGCUAAUCGUGUUAAGUUCCUGCUAAUACGGCUAAUCCUGGUAAGUUUUCGCUUAAUACGGCGAAACCUAUUAAGCUUCCCAUUAGUCAAAUGACGUUUAUGAAUUUCCUGCUAAAUAAGUAAGUUCCUACUAAGUACUUAUCAGGAUUAAACGAAUUACUUAGUAAGUUCCUAGUAAGUUUUCAAAAAUAAAACAAGUAUAAAAAAUCGUCUUUGUUAUACGCCAUCAUUUAUUUAUUCACACGGAAGACAAGUCAGCCCUAAAACAGCUUUUUUAGAUUCAAUAGUUUUACUAAAUAAUAUUUGUAAUUCUAUAGGGAAAAACCUCAAGAACAUCUGGGGAUGAUUACGUGGUUUGCAGUUUAUUUGAUGAAUAUUUGUUAAUGUGUUAAAAUGUGAUUUUGAAUUACAAUGUUAAUUUUAUAAUGUUAACUUUAACUCUAUAUAAAUUCUAGCAUUUUCUGUUGUAUCAAUUCGAGCAUUUUCUGAUUCAUAGUGAUAUGUAUGGUGAUGUAUUUUUUAAAUUAAUUUUUAUUUUUA